ensembl:lncRNA
AAAACAUGAUCUCCAUCUGCAUCGACCAAGUACAUUAGAUGCAGUUAUCCCCAUGAUGGAGAAGACCACGUUGUGCCAUGUUAAAGAUAAGGGGCUUCAGGAGGUGAAGGGAGUGGCCAUUUUAAAUGAGGACUUAAAUAUGGUUGACUAUCCAGGGAUUCAAACUAUUAUUUUUUGAUGUUAAGGAUAGGAAUGAGCCUUUUGACUUUCUUAGACUAGAAAUCCUGUAAGUCUCCAUUCUGGGAGGAAUCCUUAAUUUUGCUCACCUGGGAGAAAGGCCUAGAUUAGGAGGCUUGGCUAGGCCCAACUCCACCCAAACUUCCUGUUCCUGCCCCAGUGAUACCUGGGAGUUUUUGUUUUUGUUUUUUUUGAAAAGGAAGCUUAAGCAGAGCUAGGCCUAGCUAAGUUUCAAAGCCUUCCAGUUGAGGCCUUCAUCUCAGGUGAGUGAUAUUUAGGCAGGGUAUUUGCAAGUCUAGGUAGACCUUCCGGAAUGAGGACAUGUUUUAGUUCUAAAAAAUCAAAAAAAAAAAUCUAUCUCCAGUUAAAUGUGCCUGUGUUCAUUUUGGUUCCUUCCAGAAUUUUUAAAAUCUCACAAUCUCGCCACGCCCCAUACGAAGAAAGGUUUUGUUUGAACUACGAUCGGCAAGUAACUGAAAUGAAGUUCCUAGUCUACCACAAGGAGGAAGAAAGGACUGCCUUUAGAUUAAGGGAAGCAUCAGUCAGCCUGGGAAACAUCAGUCAAAAAAGUCUCUGGAGAUGACAAUACAAUAUUCUUCGUCCUACUGAUGUCUCCGAGUGACAUCACCGAGACUGUAAGUGCCAGUUAAUGAGAAAGAGGGGCUUUCAUCUGAGACACAUGAAGCUAUUAUCUUCAGUGUGUCUCUGUACUUCUGCAGUAUAUCAAGAAAGGAGAAUUUUAACCAGAAAUUCAAAACUCUGCAACUGACAAAGCCUUGUUCUCCUGGAAAGAUUUCCUUCUGUUGUAUUGAAGAGAGAGAGGUUUGUGUCACAGAGCAGAGGGUAGGAACGAAGGAACCAAGUGACUGAGUUUCAAGAGAAUUGGCUCCAAUUAUCCAACAAUUUUAUCCUGAAAUUAUCGGCUGCCGGACUUGAAACAUGGAAGAAAAAGACAUUUUUCUAUCGCAGAUGGUUACAGUCACCUUAAUCUUCUCUUGGCAAGUAGGACACUUGCCGGUGUCCUCCUCAGCAUUUGCCGAGCGAAAACGAGCAGAGGAUUUGUGGGAAAGCUGGCCUCAAGAUACCUCAGUUCCUCUCACAGACCACCAUUCCCACAAUAUUCCAGCUCAUCCUGGCCCUUGCCUGUGGAAGUUCUAAUUUAAAAAGCGGAACUUCCCCCAUUUCUCUGAGCAGAACUGGUUUGCUACCCGUUUCUUUUUAUUCGUUGCAAUAUUUUACCUGUCCAGGGUUAAGCUCCGAAUGGGGAUUAAUUUGUGAGGAUAUCAUUAACAACGGUUGUCAUGGUGGUCUGGGCUCGUGGUGUGACCAUGACACUUCCCGUCGGCUAGUCUUCGAAGUGACUGGACCAACGUUGUAUACAGAUUUUUGGGUUCAAUUCCGACCAGGUGUUAACAAAAAGAAACUUGAAACCAGAAAUUUCUGAGGUAUUUUCUGAGCCCGUGGAAAUCCUAAUGUAUUCAGGCUUCGGGUUAAGGGUGAGGUGAACAAGUCUUGGAUUUUCUGAGUUCCUUGAAAUGUUCCCCCUCAAUGAGGUAUGUCUCCCUAAAUUCCAUUGGCAACCA